ACCGGGGGCGACAGCAGUAUGAAGGUCAAGCUGAAGACUUUACCAGACAAGCUGAGAGGAGGUGCAUGGCCGUCGCCAGCUCGUGCCGUGAGGUGUCCUGUUAAGUCAGGUAACGAGCGAGACCCCUGCCUCUAGUUGCUACCAUUAUUCUCAGGAGUAAUGGAGCUAAUUAGAGGGACUGCCGUCGCUGAGACGGAGGAAGGAGGGGGCUACGGCAGGUCAGUAUGCCCCGAAACCCUCGGGCCACACGCGGGCUGCAAUGGUAAGGACAAUGAGUUUCGAUUCCGAAAGGAGGAGGCAAUCUCUAAACCUUACCACAGUUAUGAUUGAGGGCUGAAACUCGCCCUCAUGAAUAUGGAAUCCCUAGUAACCGCGUGUCACUAUCGCGCGGUGAAUACGUCCCUGCUCCUUGCACACACCGCCCGUAAUCACUAGUGAAU
rnacentral:rRNA from 1 species